UAGGGAAUCUUCCGCAAUGGACGCAAGUCUGACGGAGCAACGCCGCGUGAGUGAAGAAGGAUUUCGGUUCGUAAAACUCUGUUGUUAGAGAAGAACAGCGCAUAGAGUAACUGUUAUGCGUGUGACGGUAUCUAACCAGAAAGCCACGGCUAACUACGUGCCAGCAGCCGCGGUAAUACGUAGGUGGCAAGCGUUGUCCGGAUUUAUUGGGCGUAAAGCGAGCGCAGGCGGUCAAUUAAGUCUGAUGUGAAAGCCCCCGGCUCAACCGGGGAGGGUCAUUGGAAACUGGUUGACUUGAGUGCAGAAGAGGAGAGUGGAAUUCCAUGUGUAGCGGUGAAAUGCGUAGAUAUAUGGAGGAACACCAGUGGCGAAGGCGACUCUCUGGUCUGUAACUGACGCGGAGGCUCGAAAGCGUGGGGAGCGAACAGG
rnacentral:rRNA from 1 species